AUUGAACGCUGGCGGAAUGCUUUACACAUGCAAGUCGAACGGCAGCACGGGGCAACCUGGUGGCGAGUGGCGAACGGGUGAGUAAUACAUCGGAACGUGCCCAGUCGUGGGGGAUAACGUAGCGAAAGCUACGCUAAUACCGCAUACGAUCUACGGAUGAAAGCGGGGGACGUCGCAAGAGCCUCGCGCGAUUGGAGCGGCCGAUGGCAGAUUAGGUAGUUGGUGGGGUAAAGGCUCACCAAGCCUGCGAUCUGUAGCUGGUCUGAGAGGACGACCAGCCACACUGGAACUGAGACACGGUCCAGACUCCUACGGGAGGCAGCAGUGGGGAAUUUUGGACAAUGGGCGCAAGCCUGAUCCAGCCAUUCCGCGUGCAGGAUGAAGGCCUUCGGGUUGUAAACUGCUUUUGUACGGUAACGAAAAGGUUUACUCUAAUACAGAGGGCGUCAUGACGGUACCGUAAGAAUAAGCACCGGCUAACUACGUG
rnacentral:rRNA from 1 species